rnacentral:ncRNA from 1 species
GACAAUGCGAUGAUGAGGGCAAGUAAGCGAAACGUUCGUCCUGCAGAAAGCCGGUGGUUGAUGCGAACCGGAGGAGGAGCUUUGGCCGAAUGGGCCUCGGAGCGCCGGACAGAACCGCGGGCAGGCGGGAAGCCUAGCUGCGAUGCGAAGUAUGCCGGACGGGUCGUUCCACGUUACGGAAUCAAUAAGGCUGAAUUUGGCCCAAGGUUGGCUUGUACAAAGGGUGGCUCUGUUGCAAGGACCUGGAGAAUUCGGCGAAUAAGGGUGGCACCACGGUCUCACGUCCCUUGC